CCUGUGGUUUGGUUGAUUUGUACUCUUCCCCGUUCAUUGUCUUUUUACUGUGCGGAGUCAGAGGACGAACUGCACACACUCGUCAAGAGAACAUGGUUAGAACACAACAACCUUUUGGUUGAAGGCAUCUCUAUACUCUGGUUUCCAGUUGCUUUUUUGGUUCUUCGUCUGGAUGCUGUCUGGAUAGGGUUUCAUAUAUAUAUUGAAGGAUCAGAAGGUAAGCCAUGUUCUACCCUGCAGCCCUGUGUGAGUGCCUCAGAGGCAUCCUCCUUGUCCUCGUCCCUGUCCCCAGCCUCCGUCGCUAAGGACGUCUUCUUCAACAUCGCCACUGAGGAAAAGGUAGAAGGGCUUUCUUCUUCUAUUCUCUGUCUUGCUUUCACACUCAGUGCAUCCACAUCUGAACGUGUCAAAACAACAAGCCCUAACUCCUCUCUCUCUCCCUCCACACUCUUUCCUCCCCCUCUCGCUCCCUCCCCCUCUCCUUCCCUCCCUCCCUCCCCCUCCCCCUCUCUCCCCUCUCCUUCCCUCCCUCGCCCUCUCCCUUUCCCCCAUCUCCCGCCCUCCCUCCCCCAGGAUGAUGAAAGUGACUAUGAGAACCCAAGCCUGGAUGAGGAUGUAGACAGCAGUGUGGAGGAUCUGCUGGGUUUAAGCUGUUCCUUCAUAGACUCAAACUAUUACAAAGACCAUCAAGGGGUACACUCCGUAUCGGCUGCCCCAGAAACCAGCCCUUCUACCCUGGGCUUUCCCGGUAGAUAUAGCGACAGUCCCCAGCACAGCUCCCAGCUCCAUCCCAAUCCACAUCCCUAUCCACAUCCCUAUCCAUAUCCCUAUCAAGAGACUGAAAACAAAUCCAUACCCCAUCACACUAUUGUGGUCACCCAGUUCAACCCUAACCUGUUGCAGUCAGGCAGUGCCAUGGACGGCUAUAACAGUGAGUCGGUGGACCCUGUGGACCCUGUGGGUGUGGUGAGCACUAUGGUGAAUCUGAAUGGACCAGGAGGACAAGGAGACAUGAUGGAUUCUGACAGAGAGAGCUUCCCUAUCCUGAUCAGGUCCAUGUCUACAUCACGCAGACACAGCUUGGGCAUGCCCAUGUCUCCCAUCGACUUGGGGAGGAGGCUGAGCCUGGACGCCAUAGACAGCGAUGGAGAGAGGGAUGACUCUCUCCUCCGCUCCUCCCACCUACAGGCGUUUAUAUACCCAGGAUGCCCUGAGCAGGAAGUGGAGGAGUCCGAUGGGACAGACCUCUCCAGAUCUGAAGCCAAGGAGACAGAAACGGAGGAGUACAGUCGGUCUGGAAGGACAUACUCCAGAACAGAGAUUCUGGCCACAGAUGAGCACAUUCACGUCGCACACGUGUCUCACGUAGUGGAGACAUCGAAGAGGGCAGCAGGAGUGCUACUGUUGUAUUGCA
rnacentral:lncRNA from 13 species